rnacentral:rRNA from 1 species
GACGAACGCUGGCGGCGUGCUUAACACAUGCAAGUCGAACGGAAAGGCCCUGCUUUUGUGGGGUGCUCGAGUGGCGAACGGGUGAGUAACACGUGAGUAACCUGCCCUUGACUUUGGGAUAACUUCAGGAAACUGGGGCUAAUACCGGAUAGGAGCUCCUGCUGCAUGGGGGGGGUUGGAAAGUUUCGGCGGUUGGGGAUGGACUCGCGGCUUAUCAGCUUGUUGGUGGGGUAGUGGCUUACCAAGGCUUUGACGGGUAGCCGGCCUGAGAGGGUGACCGGCCACAUUGGGACUGAGAUACGGCCCAGACUCCUACGGGAGGCAGAAGUGGGGAAUAUUGCACAAUGGGCGGAAGCCUGAUGCAGCAACGCCGCGUGCGGGAUGACGGCCUUCGGGUUGUAAACCGCUUUCGCCUGUGACGAAGCGUGAGUGACGGUAAUGGGUAAAGAAGCACCGGCUAACUACGUG